AAUGAACGUUGGCGGCGUGGAUUAGGCAUGCAAGUCGAGCGAGAACCCAGCAAUGGGGGACAGCGGCGCAAGGGACAGUAAUGUGUAGAUCAUCUGCCCUCAGGACCGGGAUAGCUGCGGGAAACUGCAGGUAAUACCGGAUAACAUCUCCGGAUCAAAGGUGUGAUUCCGCCUGAGGAUGAGUCUACAUCCUAUUAGCUAGUUGGUAGGGUAACGGCCUACCAAGGCGAUGAUGGGUAGCGGGUGUGAGAGCACGACCCGCGUCAUUGGGACUGAGACACUGCCCAGACACCUACGGGUGGCUGCAGUCGAGAAUCUUCGGCAAUGGGCGCAAGCCUGACCGAGCGACGCCGCGUGUGGGAUGAAGGCCUUCGGGUUGUAAACCACUGUUAGAGGGGAUGAAAUGCAGGUGGGUUCUCCCAUCUGUUUGACAUAGCCUCAGAGGAAGGACGGGCUAAGUUCGUGCCAGCCGCCGCGGUAACAC
rnacentral:rRNA from 1 species